CCUACGGGAGGCAGCAGUGGGGAAUAUUGCACAAUGGGCGCAAGCCUGAUGCAGCCAUGCCGCGUGUAUGAAGAAGGCCUUCGGGUUGUAAAGUACUUUCAGCGGGGAGGAAGGGAGUAAAGUUAAUACCUUUGCUCAUUGACGUUACCCGCAGAAGAAGCACCGGCUAACUCCGUGCCAGCAGCCGCGGUAA
rnacentral:rRNA from 2 species